rnacentral:rRNA from 1 species
UACGUAGGGGGCGAGCGUUGUCCGGAAUGAUUGGGCGUAAAGGGCGCGUAGGCGGCUUGUUAAGUCUGGAGUGGAAGUCCUCUUUUCAAGGGAGGAAUUGCUUUGGAAACUGGCGGGCUUGAGUGCAGGAGAGGUUAUCGGAAUUCCCGGUGUAGCGGUGAAAUGCGUAGAGAUCGGGAGGAACACCAGUGGCGAAGGCGGGUAACUGGACUGCAACUGACGCUGAGGCGCGAAAGUGUGGGGAGCAAACAGGAUUAGAUACCCUGGUAGUCCCUGAG